UGGCGAACGGGUGAGUAACACGUGAGCAACCUGCCCUGGACUCUGGGAUAAGCGCUGGAAACGGCGUCUAAUACUGGAUAUGACCCUCUUCCGCAUGGUGGGGGUUGGAAAGAUUUUUUGGUCUGGGAUGGGCUCGCGGCCUAUCAGCUUGUUGGUGAGGUAAUGGCUCACCAAGGCGUCGACGGGUAGCCGGCCUGAGAGGGUGACCGGCCACACUGGGACUGAGACACGGCCCAGACUCCUACGGGAGGCAGCAGUGGGGAAUAUUGCACAAUGGGCGGAAGCCUGAUGCAGCAACGCCGCGUGAGGGAUGACGGCCUUCGGGUUGUAAACCUCUUUUAGCAGGGAAGAAGCGAAAGUGACGGUACCUGCAGAAAAAGCGCCGGCUAACUACGUGCCAGCAGCCGCGGUAAUACGUAGGGCGCAAGCGUUAUCCGGAAUUAUUGGGCGUAAAGAGCUCGUAGGCGGUUUGUCGCGUCUGCUGUGAAAUCCCGAGGCUCAACCUCGGGCCUGCAGUGGGUACGGGCAGACUAGAGUGCGGUAGGGGAGAUUGGAAUUCCUGGUGUAGCGGUGGAAUGCGCAGAUAUCAGGAGGAACACCGAUGGCGAAGGCAGAUCUCUGGGCCGUAACUGACGCUGAGGAGCGAAAGGGUGGGGGAGCAAACAGGCUUAGAUACCCUGGUAGUCCACCCCGUAAACGUUGGGAACUAGUUGUGGGGACCAUUCCACGGUUUCCGUGACGCAUCUAACGUAUUAAGUUCCCCCGCCUGGGGAGUACGGCCGCAAGGCUAAAACUUCAAGGAAUUUGAC
rnacentral:rRNA from 1 species